rnacentral:lncRNA from 1 species
CACACACACACUCAGGUGCCCAGCGAGGAACCCACCAGGUGGAAACCCUCAGGGCUCAGCCUGCCCUGUGCGCGGCCCUGCGCCUGUGCCGCCACGGGGUCAUUAGGGGGAGGCAGGCACAGGUGGUCUCUUGCACACCUGCCCCAGCCUGUGGUGGGGACGCUGUGGGUACUUCAGGGCGCUGGGGCUCACCUGACACAGCGGCUCUCCAAGGGGUUCCGUCCUCACCAGAAGCAGGAUGAAGCUCAGAGCACAGCAAGGAAGUGUAUUCCAUGUUUGUUUGUGGAUACGCACCAGAAGAAUAUCUUUGAGGAAAUUGCUAAUGGCCAUUACCUAUGGGGACUAGGACAGGAAGAUUCUCCUCUUCAUGCACAAAUAUGUAUCACGAAUUCAAGGAAAGCAAAGUGGCAGUGUCAUCACCCCAAGCAGAAGCCAGCCCUGGGCAGAUGGCACCUGGAGGAGGCAGCCCUCAGCCUUGGCCUGGGCCUGGAGGGGACUGUUAUCAAGGCUGCUGAUGUGCUUUUCCUGAGUUUCCUCACGUGAGCCCUGGUUCUUGCUGACUGCUGGCCCUGUCUGGGCAGUUGGAUGCAGUUGCUACUCCUACAGGAUGAGCAGGCUUCUGGAAAGGGCAGAAUCAUUCCCUUUGGAACAUUUUAUUCUCUUUCUCUUUAAGUAAAGUUCUAGUUCCUCCUACACCCUGUGUGACAACGGCUUUCUUAACAGUUUUAGGUGUCCUUGCUUCAAAAGGACAUUGUAACAGGAAACUGUUACUCCUACUGCCGAAAACUGAAUGCACGAGAUUGUCUCAUUAGAGUCGGAUUCAAUAUUCCCUGGCUACUGUAAAGGAUGCUGUGGGGCACAUGGGGUGCAGGUCUCUCUACUAUGAAGGAUGCUGCGGGGCACACGGGGCUGUAGGUCUCUGCACUGUGAAGGAUGCUGCAGGGCAUAUGGGGUGCAGGUCUCUGCACUGUGAAGGAUGCUGCAGGGCACAUGGGGCUGCAGGUUUCUGCACUGUGAAGGAUGCUGCAGGGCACAUGGGGUGCAGGUGUCUCUCAGAUUCUAUUAUCAGCUUCUAUGGAUGUAGACCCAGAAGUGGAAGAGCUGUAUCACAUGGCAGUUCUAUUUUUAAUUUUUUGAGGAACAUCCAUACUGUUUUCCAUAGUGGCUGCACCAAUUUCCACUCCCACCAGCAGUGCACAGAGGUUUCCUUUUCUCCACGUCCUCAUUACCAUUAGUAUAGUAUAACCACUUGUUAUCUCUUGUCUUUUCGAUGACAGCCAUUCUAACAGGUGUGAGGUGAUAUCUCAUGUGGCCUUGAUUUGCAUUUCCCUGAUGAUGCGUGACGUUAAGCACCUUUUCAUGUACCUGUUGGCCAUUUGUAUGUCAUCUUUAGAGAAAUAUCUAUUCAGGUCCUUUGUCCAUUUUUUUUUUUAUGAGGAAGAUUGACCCUGAGCUAACAUUGGUGCCAACCUUCCUCUAUUUUUUGUGUGGGACGCCUGCCACAGCAUGGCUUGAUGAGUGUUGCGUAGGUCCACACCCAGGAUCCAAACCCAUGAAGGCUGGGCUGCUGAAGCAGAGCACGCAAACCUAACCACUGUGUCACCAGGCCAGCCCCCUUUGCUCAUUUUUAAUUGGAUUAUUUGUGGGUUUUUUGCUAUUGAGUUGUGUGAGUUCCUUGUAUAUUUUGGAUAUUAUCCUUGUAUCAGAUUUGCGCUUUGCAUAUAUUUUCCUCCAUUCCAUAGGUGGGAUGCAACAUUAAAUUAAAAGUCCUACAUUACUUUGAAAGUCACCUCAAUUGGUAAUGAAUUGGCUAGAUGCACUGCAGUGUUAAUUAGCAGUGUGGAUUAAUGCAUAUGUUUAAAAGAUAGAUGAGCGCUCCUUACAAAGAAACAAUGAAACUGCUAAAUCUGCUGCCAAAUCGUUGUGAUGUGAAAAACCUCAAGGAGCGCUGCAGAGACCAGCACCUUAUGAUGACAGUAAAAAUAUUUGCCAAGUACAGUUUGUCAGCAUCUGAAAAAAGGCUGUGAGUACAGGAGUGGAAAUGGCUUAAUUGAGGCUUUAUUUUGGAGGAGAAAAAUUGGCCGCGAUGGAAUUGCUACAAUCUGUCACGGGAUUGGGGAUAUUCAGUUUUCCAAAAACAUCUUAUCUCCACCCCCGUCAGCACUUUGUACAAAAAACUGCUGCAUUCGCCAAGAGUUUUGCUUUUUUAUGUUGAGUUUAAAUGUUAAGAUGAUAUCAUUGACAACAUUUUGCACUUUUCUUCUUGAAAAAAUAUUUUCACCUGAAAGUCAUCUGUUCUUCAAUCCCAUCCUUAUAAAACACAUUUUUGACUGACGCUUAAAGUUUCGACCAAAAAAAGACACACCUGGAGGGGAGGCAGGCCCAGCAGGCAGUGUCUAGCCCUGUGCGGGGUUUCCUGGACCGCUGGCUCCCUGCUGGGGCACAACUGGAAGGUCAUCUCUAGGUGGUCUAACUCCGGGGGAAUGUGCCCGUGGGGUUAGUGCCUGGCCCAGGCUCGGCUCCCUGAGACCUUCUAGGACAACCUCUGUGCUUUGUCUUGACAGUUCCCCGAGUCGGGCUCCUCUGAGGACGGGAGCCCUUCUUCAGUGACGCGUUGGCUGUCCUCCAGACCCAUUCUAAAGCGCAGCACUGCCCAGAGCAGGCACAGGAGGCCAUCGGGCCAGGUCCCCUACUGGCAGGGAAGGGGCCCUGCACGUGGGUCCCUGUUGCCUGCACGCUAUUCCUGGGACAUGUCGUCCUCCUCAGCCGCCCUCCAAGAGAGGCGGCUUUCCACGGUCGGGGCCUCAGGGGAAUCCACUGGGAGGCUAGAGCCCGACUUGGACCCCUGGGAUCCUGGGGAGGACCCGCUUGAGCCAGCCUCGGUCACCCACCAGCGUCAACAGAGGGAGUCCCCCCCAGCGAGGAGCCGGCCACGGAAAUUGGGACUGCCUGGGAUCCCAGACACAGCCAGGAGGCAGCGUCGGGACCUGAAGAAGCUGGCAGCUGAGAUGGAGCGAGUGAGGCAGUGGGAGAUCCGCCUUCUUCAGAACAUUGAAGAAGCCAUCCAGCACGAACUCACCAUCGACGACGACUGAGUGCCUGGCACAGGGGCCAGGAAGCGAACGUGCACAGGAGCCGCUCCCCGGCCGGACUUGCCCCUCUAUCUGUGAACACCGUGCCCUCAGGGCUUGCCCCACGUCCAGCCUUGACCUCUGUGUGCCUCUCCGGUGAGGUGGGGGGAACUUGGUGAAGAUCUCCUUACUCAGAUCUGAAAUGUAGCUCUCAGAGGCACCAACUGGGAAGAGGGUACAGGGGGCAGAGGUGCAGACAGGUGAGGUGGGAGCUCACAGUGCCACGCCCGGGGUACCCAGAAAAGUGAUGUAACCCCCCCACCCUGCCUGCGUCCUCCACCCGUGUAGGGAGCCUUCUACUCUGGGAUGACAUGAGGACAUAGGGAACAGGACAAUGUUAUGCAGUGACCCGCCCACCCACUGGCAAGGCCUGGGGCUUCACACUAGUGGGCCAUAGGGUGUCGCUGCGGGAAAGGCCCAAAGCCAUGGCCCGUGACUAGAAGGCGCUCUGGGGGUCUGUGGGCACUGGUUUUGUUUUUUUAGUGGGGGGGGUGGGCUAGAAGGAUAUAACCUCCUGCAGUAGCACAGGGACCGGCUCCUGCCCCGUCCUCUCCCGUGUUGAGCUCACUGCUUUAAAUAAGGAUCCCACUGAAGGGAUGGAGGUGCUGCUGACCGCGUACCGUAAGGAAGAAGAGACGGGUACCCAGGGGCUUCAGUUAACAUGGAAAACCAACAUCAAACCUCCCAGGUCCGAACAUGUCAGACACGUCUUUUUGUGGGCACGUCAUGGUUAUAAACAGAGUUAGAUUUUAUCUUGUAAAUGUUUUCAUCCCCACUUUAUCUAAAAAAAUUUUUCCCCCUUCUAAAAACCAAGAAUACUUACAUUUCCAGUCGCAUCCUGUGCCUCCUCCAGGGCCCCUCCUCCAGGGCCCCUCCUCCAGGCCUGUUGGCCAUGGCCUGACUUUUCUCAGGGAUGCAGCUAGAGCUUAUUGCUGGAGCAGAAUCAAACGGAGCACCCUAAACAGAAGCUCAGGCUGGAUGGAAACCACAGGGCACGGGAGAUCCUAUGGGCAGGUGAGGUUAGCAUGCCGUGUUCUAAGAGAUGGGUGAAGUCUCACUCUCAAGCCACAGGAUGGGCAGAGAACUCCAGACCCAGAACUGGUUCUCCCUGGAACCUCAUCUGCAUUUCUUUAGAGGUUUCCAGAAAAGAAGGAAUGAGGAAAUUCUUCACAAGAGGGGUUAGAUGCAGGCUGGGGGCUGCAUUUAUUGGGAUGGUUAUGUCACAUUUCAUCUGCUGAUGUUGUAUGUGCAGAUGAAGUUAUUGACGAGGUAGUAUGUUUCAACAUUUGUAAGUUUACGAGCUAAUUCCUCCUUUAUACGCUAUCAACUUGCUUUUUCCUUUGUGAUAAUUAUCAGGCUUUUAAAAAUGAUAACAGUUUAAUUUUUCAAAUAAAAAGGAUAAAGAAGCAGAAAAACUCCUGUAACUGCAUAACAUAGACAUAAAUGCUUUAGGGUAAUUCUAUCCCAUCUUUAUUAUUAAAAAUAAAAUGUUUUUUAGAAUUAUUUCCAAAGUCUGCGUUUGGUGCAAAAUGAUUCGGAUAUUAUGAUUCAGUGAUAUCUCUGUCUGGUUCACACUUUGAAAAGUUCAGAUUCAGAAUGAGUCCAGAGAGGAAGAGAGGUAAUGUAGGGCCUUUGGGGAACUUGUUCUUGAAAGAUUGGGAAUUACAGGUACUUGGGAGAAAGUUUUAUGGUAAGGUAAUUUCCUAGAUGUUUAUGUUGCAUUGUCUCUCAUGUAUUAACAAAAUGGCUUAUAUUUACACAAUGGAGCAUAUGGAAGUAUCCAUAGGCCCUUGAGUUAAAGUGUUUAAAUUGCAAUUCUCUUGGAUAUUUCACAAAUAAAACAGCAUGGAUUGAGAACAUGUUCCGUCCACAGGAAGAUGCCAGAGAAGCAGAGACUGGAACAGUGUCUCAGGGAGGAAUUGUGAAAUGAUGUAAUGCCACACAAGAAAUAUCCCAGCCAAUAAACGAUGUCUUAGAAAUUAAAAAUAUAACAGAAAUGAAUAAUUCUAUAGCAGCAUUGGAAGAUAAAAUUAAGGUGGGCCCUAAAUCUAAUGACACAGUGAAGAAGACACAGACGCAGAGGGGAAGCCACAUGAAGACAGCGGCAGAGAUUGGAGCGAUGCAGCCACAAGCCCGGGAUACCUGGAGCCACCAAAAGCUGGAAGACACAAGGCCCUCUGCUAGAGCCUCUGGCAGGAGCAUGGCCUUGCUGACACCUUGAUUUCAGAUUCCUGGUCUCUAGAAAUGUGAGAGGAUACGAUUCUGUUGUUUUAAGUCCCCCAGAUUGGGGCACUUUAUACAGGAGCCCCAGGAGACUAACUCAAGCACUUACGUGGUCGUCCUGUUCGUUCAUUCAUCAUUCGGUGAAUUUCUGUGGAGUAGAUGAGUGAAAAGAACAGCCUCCC